GGUUAAGUUAACAAGGGCGCAUGGUGAAUGCCUUGGCACUAGGAGCCGAUGAAGGACGGGACUAACACCGAUAUGCUUCGGGGAGCUGUACGUAAGCUAUGAUCCGGAGAUUUCCGAAUGGGGCAACCCAGCAGUUUUAAUCAACUGUUACCACUAGAUGAAUUCAUAGUCUAGUUGGAGGUAAACGCUGUGAACUGAAACAUCUCAUUAGCAGCAGGAAUAUAAAGAAAUUUCGAUUCCCUAAGUAGCGGCGAGCGAACGGGGAACAGCCCAAACCAAAGUGCUUGCACUUUGGGGUUGUAGGACUGAACAUUUGAGUUACCAAAGAACUUGAUAGUCGAAGGAUUUGGGAAAAUCCGCCAUAGAUGGUGAUAGCCCAGUAGAUUAAAUCAAAUUCUCUCAGUUCAGGAUCCUGAGUACGGCGGAACACGUGAAAUUCCGUCGGAAUCCGGGAGGACCAUCUCCCAAGGCUAAAUACUACCUAGUGACCGAUAGUGAACCAGUACCGUGAGGGAAAGGUGAAAAGCACCCCGGGAGGGGAGUGAAAUAGUUCCUGAAACCAUGUGCCUACAAUAAGUCAGAGCGCGUUAAUGCGUGAUGGCGUGCCUUUUGUAGAAUGAACCGGCGAGUUAUGAUCCCGUGCAAGGUUAAGACUAAAAAGUCGGAGCCGUAGCGAAAGCGAGUCUGAAAUGGGCGUUUUGAGUACGAGGUUAUAGACCCGAAACCAGGUGACCUAUCCAUGUCCAGGUUGAAGGUGCGGUAAAACGCACUGGAGGACCGAACCCGUGUAAGUUGAAAAUUGCUGGGAUGAGGUGUGGAUAGCGGUGAAAUUCCAAACGAACUUGGAGAUAGCUGGUUCUCUCCGAAAUAGCUUUAGGGCUAGCCUCGGAAUUAGGAUCAUGGAGGUAGAGCACUAUUUGGACUAGGGGCCCGUCUUGGGUUACUGAAUUCAGAUAAACUCCGAAUGCCAUUGAUUCAUAUCCGGGAGUCAGACGAUGAGUGAUAAGAUCCACCGUCGAAAGGGGAACAGCCCAGACCAUCAGUUAAGGUCCCUAAAUGUAUGCUAAGUGGAAAAGGAUGUGGAGUUGCAUAGACAACUAGGAUGUUGGCUCAGAAGCAGCCACCAUUUAAAGAGUGCGUAAUAGCUCACUAGUCGAGUGAUCCUGCGCCGAAAAUGUACCGGGGCUAAGCAUACUACCGAAACCAUGGAUGCGACCAUUAGGUCGCGUGAUAGGAGAGCGUUCUAAGGGCGGUGAAGCAAGAUCGUGAGGACUUGUGGAGCGCUUAGAAGUGAGAAUGCCGGUAUGAGUAGCGAAAGAUAGGUGAGAAUCCUAUCCACCGAAUGACUAAGGUUUCCUGGGGAAGGCUCGUCCUCCCAGGGUUAGUCGGGACCUAAGUCGAGGCCGAGAGGCGUAGACGAUGGAUAACAGGUUGAGAUUCCUGUACUAGUUAAGUGCGUUUGAGCAAUGGAGGGACGCAGGAGGCUAAGAUGUGCAUUCUGUUGGAUUAGAAUGUCCAAGCAGUAAGUCUUGUGAAGAGUCAAAUGCUUUUCACUUUAAGGACAAGCUGUGAUGGGGAGCGAAAUUUAGUAGCGAAGCGUCUGAUGUCACACUGCCGAGAAAAGCUUCUAGUGAGUACUUAACUACCCGUACCGCAAACCGACACAGGUAGUCGAGGAGAGAAUCCUAAGGUGAGCGAGUGAACUCUCGUUAAGGAACUCGGCAAAAUGACCCCGUAACUUCGGGAGAAGGGGUGCUGAUCGCAAGAUCAGCCGCAGUGAAUAGGCCCAGGCGACUGUUUAUCAAAAACACAGGUCUCUGCAAAAUCGUAAGAUGACGUAUAGGGGCUGACGCCUGCCCGGUGCUGGAAGGUUAAAAGGAUGGGUUAGCUUCGGCGAAGCUCAGAAUUGAAGCCCCAGUAAACGGCGGCCGUAACUAUAACGGUCCUAAGGUAGCGAAAUUCCUUGUCGGGUAAGUUCCGACCCGCACGAAAGGCGUAACGAUCUGGGCACUGUCUCAACGAGAGACUCGGUGAAAUUAUAUUGUCCGUGAAGAUGCGGACUACCCGCGACAGGACGGAAAGACCCCAUGGAGCUUUACUGUAGCUUGAUAUUGAGUGUUUGUACAGCUUGUACAGGAUAGGUAGGAGCCAUAGAAACCGGAACGCUAGUUUCGGUGGAGGCGUUGGUGGGAUACUACCCUCGCUGUAUGACCACUCUAACCCGCACCACUAAUCGUGGUGGGAGACAGUGUCAGGUGGGCAGUUUGACUGGGGCGGUCGCCUCCUAAAAAGUAACGGAGGCGCCCAAAGGUUCCCUCAGAAUGGUUGGAAAUCAUUCGCAGAGUGUAAAGGCACAAGGGAGCUUGACUGCGAGACAGACAGGUCGAGCAGGGACGAAAGUCGGGCUUAGUGAUCCGGUGGUACCGUAUGGAAGGGCCAUCGCUCAACGGAUAAAAGCUACCCUGGGGAUAACAGGCUUAUCUCCCCCAAGAGUCCACAUCGACGGGGAGGUUUGGCACCUCGAUGUCGGCUCAUCGCAUCCUGGGGCUGUAGUCGGUCCCAAGGGUUGGGCUGUUCGCCCAUUAAAGCGGUACGCGAGCUGGGUUCAGAACGUCGUGAGACAGUUCGGUCCCUAUCCGUCGCGGGCGUAGGAAAUUUGAGAGGACCUGUCCUUAGUACGAGAGGACCGGGAUGGACAUACCUCUGGUGUACCAGUUGUGCCGCCAGGCGCAUCGCUGGGUAGCUACGUAUGGAUGUGAUAAGCGCUGAAAGCAUCUAAGUGUGAAACACACCUCGAGAUGAGAUUUCCCAUUCCUUUAUGGAAGUAAGACCCCUGAAAGAUGAUCAGGUAGAUAGGUUAGAAGUGGCAGUGCGGUGACGCAUGAAGCGGACUAAUACUAAUCGGUCGAGGACUUAACCAA
rnacentral:rRNA from 1 species